CGGCAGCACCCCUCGACCGAUUCUGAAGCUCUGACCAUGAAACAGGUAUUUGAAGGAGAGCUCCCUUCGUUUCUGUUCGAUUUUGGGCCACGUGUCAUUUGAUAUGCCUUCCGUUGUGGGAAUUCUAGCGUCAGUUUGCGUGUGUGAUUCAAGGAACGGGAGAAGAGAUGGGCGGCGACAUGAAGCAGCCUUUCUCCCCCUUUACCGGCCUGUAAAUUGGGUAUGUAUUGUUUUUUAAGGGAUUGCACGUUUAUUGUGGGGGAAUGCUUGCGGAGCUUAUGAUUUUGCGGUGAAAAUUUCUUGUUACUAUCUAUGUUCAGCAAUGUGGUGUAGUACUGAGUACUCAAUAUGUUGUUUGUCUGGGUAAUAAAACAUCUGAUAUAUAGAAACAAACGGGAUAGCUAUU
rnacentral:lncRNA from 1 species